GGGGGGACGGUUAAUCGGAUGUACUGGGCGUAAGCGCACGCAGGCGGUUUGUUAAGUCAGAUGUGAAAUCCCCGGGCUCAACCUGGGAACUGCAUUUGAAACUGGCAAGCUAGAGUCUCGUAGAGGGGGGUAGAAUUCCAGGUGUAGCGGUGAAAUGCGUAGAGAUCUGGAGGAAUACCGGUGGCGAAGGCGGCCCCCUGGACGAAGACUGACGCUCAGGUGCGAAAGCGUGGGGAGCAAACAGGAUUAGAUACCCUGGUAGUCCACGCUGUAAACGAUGUCGAUUUGGAGGUUGUGCCCUUGAGGCGUGGCUUCCGGAGCUAACGCGUUAAAUCGACCGCCUGGGGAGUACGGCCGCAAGGUUAAAACUCAAAUGAAUUGACGGGGGCCCGCACAAGCGGUGGAGCAUGUGGUUUAAUUCGAUGCAACGCGAAGAACCUUACCUACUCUUGACAUCCAGAGAACUUUCCAGAGAUGGAUUGGUGCCUUCGGGAACUCUGAGACAGGUGCUGCAUGGCUGUCGUCAGCUCGUGUUGUGAAAUGUUGGGUUAAGUCCCGCAACGAGCGCAACCCUUAUCCUUUGUUGCCAGCGGUUCGGCCGGGAACUCAAAGGAGACUGCCAGUGAUAAACUGGAGGAAGGUGGGGGAUGACGUCAAGUCAUCAUGGCCCUUACGAGUAGGGCUACACACGUGCUACAAUGGCGUAUACAAAGAGAAGCGACCUCGCGAGAGCAAGCGGACCUCAUAAAGUACGUCGUAAUCCGGAAUUGGAGUCUGCAACUCGACUCCAUGAAGUCGGAAUCGCUAGUAAUCGUAGAUCAGAAUGCUACGGUGAAUACGUUCCCGGGCCUUGUACACACCGCCCGUCCACCAAGGGGAAGUGGGUUGCAAAAAGAAGUAGGUAGCUUAACCUUCCGGGAGGGCGCUUACCACUUUGUGAUCAUGAUGGGGUGAUAAAAAAAAAA
rnacentral:rRNA from 1 species